rnacentral:rRNA from 1 species
GAUGAACGCUGGCGGCGUGCCUAAUACAUGCAAGUCGAGCGAACGGACGAGAAGCUUGCUUCUCUGAUGUUAGCGGCGGACGGGUGAGUAACACGUGGAUAACCUACCUAUAAGACUGGGAUAACUUCGGGAAACCGGAGCUAAUACCGGAUAAUAUUUUGAACCGCAUGGUUCAAAAGUGAAAGACGGUCUUGCUGUCACUUAUAGAUGGAUCCGCGCUGCAUUAGCUAGUUGGUAAGGUAACGGCUUACCAAGGCAACGAUGCAUAGCCGACCUGAGAGGGUGAUCGGCCACACUGGAACUGAGACACGGUCCAGACUCCUACGGGAGGCAGCAGUAGGGAAUCUUCCGCAAUGGGCGAAAGCCUGCCGGAGCAACGCCGCGUGAGUGAUGAAGGUCUUCGGAUCGUAAAACUCUGUUAUUAGGGAAGAACAUAUGUGUAAGUAACUGUGCACAUCUUGACGGUACCUAAUCAGAAAGCCACGGCUAACUACGUG